rnacentral:rRNA from 1 species
GACGGAGGGAGCUAGCGUUGUUCGGAAUGACUGGGCGUAAAGGGCGCGUAGGCGGUUUUUUAAGUGAGGCGUGAAAGCCCUGGGCUUAACCCAGGAGGUGCGUUUCAGACUGGAAGACUUGAGGACGAGAGAGGAAAGUGGAAUUCCUAGUGUAGAGGUGAAAUUCGUAGAUAUUAGGAAGAACACCAGUGGCGAAGGCGACUUUCUGGCUCGUAACUGACGCUGAGGCGCGAAA